rnacentral:rRNA from 1 species
AGCGAACGCUGGCGGCAGGCUUAACACAUGCAAGUCGAACGGGCUUCUUCGGAAGUCAGUGGCAGACGGGUGAGUAACACGUGGGAACGUGCCCUUCGGUUCGGAAUAACUCAGGGAAACUUGAGCUAAUACCGGAUACGCCCUUUUGGGGAAAGGUUGACUGCCGAAGGAUCGGCCUGCGUCUGAUUUGCUUGUUGGUGGGGUAACGGCCUACCAAGGCGACGAUCAGUAGCUGGUCUGAGAGGAUGAUCAGCCACACUGGGACUGAGACACGGCCCAGACUCCUACGGGAGGCAGCAGUGGGGAAUAUUGGACAAUGGGCGCAAGCCUGAUCCAGCCAUGCCGCGUGAGUGAUGAAGGCCUUAGGGUUGUAAAGCUCUUUUGUCCGGGACGAUAAUGACGGUACCGGAAGAAUAAGCCCCGGCUAACUUCGUG